GAGAGGAGAGGAGGCGUGUGUGUGUGUGUGUGUGUGUGUGUGUGUGUGUGUGUGUUUUGCGUGAGGGUUUAAGUGGAGGGCAGACGAGAGGCUGCUGUGUGUUUGUGUCCUCUGAACGACCUCCUCUGCUGCUACACAUGAACGAGAGGCUCCAGCUCAGCAGGGCUCUGGAGGAAGCCGUGCACGAGAGAGGAAAGCAGCGCAGAGUGAAAGUAGCAGUUCCUCCUUAAGGUCAGAGAUUGCAGCAUCUGAGGGCCUCUUCAAAAGAAGACGUAGUUGAUGAAUGCGUUCUGGAGCAGGACCAGAAAGACCAUGACCAAGCAGCCUUGAGAUCUUAGGCAGCGUCUCCCUCAGGUCCCUCUCUAUCUCCCCACACAUCCACCAACCACUGGAACACAUCUCCAAAGUUCUGCUGGGCCAGCUCAGCUUCCCCUCAGAAGAAGUGCCACCACCUGCCAGAUGAAGGAGCCUUUUGAGAGGCAGCUGGCAUCGUGAUUGGACUGUACUUUGGUCUGUUCCAAUCCAGCUUCAGCUCCAGAGACGGCAGGCGGGACGAGUCAACGGAGGCCGGGUGGACGAAGGCAUGCAGCUGAGUACAAUCCAGAAAACAACAGAGGAGGAGUGCAGGACCAGAACAGAGUAGCAUGGUAUGUCUCUUAGAAAACAUCAUAGUAUAGCCUUUGGUAUGAAAAAACACCAUCAUAUACAUCGUAGAUUGUACAAAUAACAAGUCAAAGGAAAGAGACAUACAUUGUAGAAUUGUAGUAAUUGUGGGCUGACUGAUUUACUGAUUAUCAGUAUUUUAUUUUUUACUGAUUUACAGUAAUAAAUACAUUUAAAAAUGG